GAGUUUCAUCAUGGCUCAGGAUGAACGCUAGCUACAGGCUUAACACAUGCAAGUCGAGGGGCAGCAUGAUCUUAGCUUGCUAAGAUUGAUGGCGACCGGCGCACGGGUGAGUAACGCGUAUCCAACCUUCCCCUUAGUAGGGCAUAGCCCGUAGAAAUGCGGAUUAAUACCCUAUGUUUUCCAAUGAGGACAUCUGAGCUGGAACAAAGAUUAAUCGCUAAGGGAUGGGGAUGCGUCUGAUUAGGUAGUCGGCGGGGUAACGGCCCACCGAGCCAACGAUCAGUAGGGGUUCUGAGAGGAAGGUCCCCCACAUUGGAACUGAGCCAUGAUCAAACUC
rnacentral:rRNA from 1 species